rnacentral:lncRNA from 1 species
GGGCAGUGUCCUCCUGCUAGCAGUGCUGGGGGGACCUCCCAUGCAUGCAUGACAAGCAGGGUCUGGAAUGCUGGCACUCCCCUGCUAACGUAAGCCCCUAGUUGUGUUAUGUGUGUAUAUAUAUAUAUAUAUAUAAUAUGACUCUUUUCACUACAUCUAGCACAACAGCCAAAGCAAGGAAAGCUGUGAAGAAAACAGCACUCAGCAGCAUGGGCUGCAGCCCAGGCAGUUGUCAGGAAUCCCUCUUUGCCAGAAAGAUCUGGAGAUCUCUGUGCAAGAAAGCAGGCUUUUGAUUGUACACCAGUAUCUGCAGAGCACAGGAGAUGGAGUUAUGGUUUCUGGUUUGGAUGGUGUUACUGAAAUAACAGCGAUGCAGAAAAUGAGGUAAUCGACUUCAGAAAGAGUGUGGAUGAAUGCUGGUGUUUGCAUAUCAGUGAGGGAGCAGUAGCCAUAGGGAUAGAUGGGACUUGUCUCUGUGGCACACUUUGCUGCUGGAGCAGGGAAAUAAAUAGGUCCAAAACAGCCAAAGAAAUGCAUGCUCGUCUCACAUGCGAUUUUUAAAGCGUAUGCUACUGGAAGAUGUGUAAAAGCUUCACCAGAGCUGGAACCUCUCACACCACUGCUCCGAGCCCUGACGUAUUUCCUCAUCUGGAACAGGAAAAGGUGUGCGGAGCCUGAGGACGGGCUGAAGAAGGGCAGGCAGCGUGGCUUAACCCCAAACUCAUCGUAGAGUAGAGCAG